CUUGUGCCAGCCGCCGCGGUAAUACGAAGGGGGCUAGCGUUGUUCGGAUUUACUGGGCGUAAAGCGCACGUAGGCGGACUAUUAAGUCAGGGGUGAAAUCCCGGGGCUCAACCCCGGAACUGCCUUUGAUACUGGUAGUCUCGAGUCCGGAAGAGGUGAGUGGAAUUCCNGAGUGUAGAGGUGAAAUUCGUAGAUAUUCGGAGGACACCAGUGGCGAAGGCGGCUCACUGGUCCGGUACUGACGCUGAGGUGCGAAAGCGUGGGGAGCAAACAGGAUUAGAU
rnacentral:rRNA from 1 species